rnacentral:sRNA from 1 species
GCUGGGUGUGGUGGCACAUGCCUAUAAUCCCAGCAGCUUGGGAGGCUGAGGCAGGAGGAUCAAGAAUUCAAAGCCAGCCUCAGCCACUUAGAGAGGCUCUAAGCAACUUGGCGAGUUCCUGUCUCUA